rnacentral:lncRNA from 1 species
GCUCUCGAGCGCCUGAAGUUCACGCUUGAUGCCCCCUAAAUUUCCAACCUUUCCCAGUGCUUGAGUAAUCAGAUUGGCAAGGACGCUUCCACCAAUGCUGAUGACAGCUUCUGUCAUAUUUGUUCUCUCUAUCUCUCUUUCUCUAUGGGGUUGAGAAGAUUUUAGUCCUGUCGUUCCGAGGCUAGCGUCUUCUUAGAUGAUGUAUAAAAAGUCUGUCCUUGAGAUUAAAUGAGUGUACAAUAAUAGUAGAUAAUAGAAAAUAUUUAACUGACAAGCAGUAAUUCCAAAGCAUCCUAUGUCAUGUAAGAUUCCAUCCCAUCUAAUAAGUAAGGCGAGUUCCUAUUCAUACAUUCUUCUAGAAACAUUAUGUUAGAUUAUCUUAGAUUGAUUAAGUUUUUUUUUCUACCAUACCAUUAAGUAAUAUGUCUAAUUAACAUUAAGGAAAUUGGGAGGUAAUUGAGUGAUGAUGUGGUUCGACCGUUAAGCUCCAUUUUGCUGGACUUUCUUCUUAGUUUGGUUUUAAUAUAUGAUGCGUAAUAAAUUAAAACAAAACAAGGUAAUCACAAUGAUCAUAGGCUUUUUAAAAAAUAAAAUUAAUUUUGUGCUUUCUUAUGUAAAAUUCAAAAUGUUAUUUAAAUAUAAAAAGUCAUUAUUCAAAUUACAUAUUAAUGUUUACGUGUUGUGAAAAUUUCAUAUGUUUAAAGACAAAAUAAUGUAAAAUGUAGACUGAGACAACAUUAGAAGAAACAAAAAUAAAAUGUAAAAAUCUAUCAAGACAAGCCAUGAGCUAAGUUGGUGAUGCUCUUGAAAUCCGCUAGAGGUGUUGGACCAUGUCGUUGUCCUUUGUACUUGUUAUCUUUUCUUUUUUCCUUACUUUUUCUCUUUUUGGGCGAACAGAAAGUGUAAGGUAACAUGAUGUUGAAGCAAAGCCACAAUUUUUCACUUCAUUGGCCGACAAAAUGAGAAUCAGAAUCCACUUACAAGGGCUACACUACAUCCACCACAAUCUGCUCAAGCCCGGAAACCAUCUCAUUGCAGCUUAGAAAGUUAUCAUAGCUGUCUCGACAAGGGCAGCAGCAUAGGGAAUGCCCCGAUGGAUGCCCACUCUCUAGUGUUCAGUGGACAAGAUUAGCUUAUGCUCGGUGAUAAAAUGUUGUACUUUGCAAGACCGUACGUGUCAGAGAACAAGACAAAUGAAGAUAUUGAGUCUUAAGGUCUAGCGUCCCUGUCAAUUUGUGCACAAUCUCUUUUGAACUCUUUACCAAGCCCCUUUUCUUAUUAGUGUUGAACUCAAGUUCUUCUAAAUCACAUCCAACAAGUAAGAUAAAUGUGUUCCAAUAUAUGACCUAUUCCACACGAAGAAAAAGUACAUAAAAUGGCGAUCAUUUUGAAUCAGGUCCAAAUUUAUGAGUAAUAGCACGAGUCUUAACAUGAUCCUAAAUAUUUCACGAAACAUUUGGCAAGAUGCUUGAGAUCUUUAAUAAGGAUAGCAGGUGUUGCACGUUCUUAUUCACUUAUAAUCACAAUUAGUUGUUGUAUUUGGUCACUUCCCCUUCCAUGUUAGUUGCAUGUUCAUAAUUUCUAUGGAUGCCGAUUCAAUUAUAUUUAAUUCCAUUUCUUUCUAACCGCCCCUUGCUCUGCCAGGAUUUUCAAAAGAAAUCAUGUGACUCUUAGUAUGUACGUAGCGAGUAAUUUUUCAUGUGACCAGUAACUUUUUACAAGAUAUUCGACUUCCAAUAUAUAAAUAAAUACUCACCUAUUUACAUUAUUAAUAAUUUUUUACAUAAAAGGUAACCUAUCUACAUUGAUUCUUAUCGUCCCAUGUAUUUUUUUUUAAAAAGGACAAGUUUGAAAAAAAAUUGAUGCUUUUUGCAACGUAACAGUAAAUCUUAAUUUGUAAGACCAAAAAUUUACAUGAAGUUUGUAACCUAUUCAUGGGAUGAGUAAGUUUUGCUUUAAAAAAGUAAUUACCACCGACCCUGUUUAAUAAAAGAAAAUAUAGGAAUUGACAAACAAUAUGUAAGCCGCCCACGGUCUAGAAAGUGAAAAUUAAAGUUUUUUUUUUUCUCAGCAGCUGUAAAUGAAAAUUUCUCCCAAGGGGGCUAAAGAACAAAUGAGCCCGGCUUUUUUCUGAUGAUGCCCAUUUUCCUAGUUUCAUCACAUGCUUUCCUUAGAAAACAGUGCACGUCCACAUGCUUUCCUUAGAAAACAGUGCACGUUCACCUGCUUAGAAAACAGUGCAUGUCCACAUGCUUUCCUUAGAAAACAGUGCACGUUCACAUGCUUUCCUUUUAAUACGGUGCCGGUUCACAUGCAUGCCUCAGUUGUUUUGUAGUAAACACCGGAGUAUUAAGAUUAAUAUAACUUGGAUCUUGAGAAGACGGAAAAUUAUCAUAGCUGCGGGGGCAACUUAAAAUCUAACUUCACAUGGUAAAAAAAAUUUAUGUUAAUGAAUUUCCGCUUUUGUCCGAAUAAAAAACUGAAGAAAAGAUUAUGAAGUAUAAAUUGUGAAUGAAGUAGUAUGAAACCUUUGUGUGCAAAAAAGAAAUUGCAGAUUGGUAUAGAAGUACGAUGUGCAGUGGGAUGACAAAAAAGCAAGCUGAUGAGGAUGCUUUUCAACUUUAGAUUUUAAUAUGCGGAAUGGUAGAACGGCUCUUAAAGUUGGCUAAUCUUCUCUUGUGAAUUCCAUUUAGAAUUGGAAAUUGGGACAUGUUACAUCUUCUUAUGUGCCCAAUUUGAAGAAGGUUAAAUAUCCUAAAUAUGAAAAUCUUUACACCAUAUAAAUCAUAUUUCUAAAUCCAAAUAAAAGACGUCGAUAGUUUCCCUAAACAUUCUUUGUUUCAUCAAUCUAUUCAUUUUCAGAAAAGCUCUCUGGUUAGUCGCUAUAAGAAAGAACGAACCUGGCUAAUAGUGGGCUGAUCGACGGCCGACCAACAAAGGCGAGGCCCCAACCGGCCAGAUCAAGAGAGGAGGACAGGAGACGGUGUCAGCAAGAUCAAGAGAGAGAUGAGAUGAGACAAGACGGCAUGGGCAAAGACUCCAGGAAUAGAGAGAUCAAUGGCAUUGCUGGGGAAAGUCGAGAGACGAAGAGUCUGAGAGAGAGGCUAGCAAUGGGAGUGGGAACUAAAAGAGAGUAGCGAGGGUCUUUAAAUAUAAAAGAUUUAGCACU